GUUAAAACUCAAAUGAAUUGACGGGGGCCCGCACAAGCGGUGGAGCAUGUGGUUUAAUUCGAUGCAACGCGAAGAACCUUACCUACUCUUGACAUCCAGCGAAUCCUUUAGAGAUAGAGGAGUGCCUUCGGGAACGCUGAGACAGGUGCUGCAUGGCUGUCGUCAGCUCGUGUUGUGAAAUGUUGGGUUAAGUCCCGCAACGAGCGCAACCCUUAUCCUUGUUUGCCAGCACAUAAUGGUGGGAACUCCAGGGAGACUGCCGGUGAUAAACCGGAGGAAGGUGGGGACGACGUCAAGUCAUCAUGGCCCUUACGAGUAGGGCUACACACGUGCUAC
rnacentral:rRNA from 1 species